CGCGUGAGUAGUAAGUGAUUCACUUCCUGUAUUAGAGUGUGUUGAAUUUUCAUGCGACUUACACAAAUGUGUGCAUCUGUCAGCCAGAGGUGAACAUGGCUGAAGUCUCGGAGAGGACACUACAAGUCGCCGUCGUGGUGUCUUUCGCUGCCGGCUUUGUAGCGGGCUGGCAGGCUAACAGAAUGAGGAGAAAGUUUCUGGACUGGAGGAAGAAACGGCUGCAAGAUAAACUGUCCGAAACUCAGAAGAAGCUGGAUUUGGCUUGAAUGGUCUGGGGUUGUCUGGUCUUCUCUGUAAAGCUGCUGGAUCCUGGAUGUGCUACACGUCUGUCACUGUGGAGAAGAGACAUCAAAAUGACCAACCUGUGUUCUGCACUACCCACGUUUUCUUAUCCCACCUUUUUAAAUCAAGACUGGACUUGGAAAUACAAUCAUUACGUCUUUUCUCCCCUCUGACACUAGUCUAGCAUUGUCCGCCGUAUCUCCACAGCCCUGUGUCAGUGCUCGAGUAUUGUCUGGCUACACUGCUUAUCUAUUCCGGGGUAGUGGGGGGGAAGACACUCUUGCCUCUUUUUUUUCUUCUUCUUUUUCAAACCAAUCAACUAUCCUGGGCUGUGCUAACUAAAGCCCUUGAUGCAGAGACAAUGACCUUGCUACAUACAUAGAAGAAGGGGACGCUUUAUCCUAGCAAAGUACAUCCGGUGACCCAGACUACUUAAGACACAACAGGGAAAAAAUUGGGGUUCUGGUUUUAGUGGUUUCCCUUUACAGCAUGUCUCAGUUUCUAUUUGUUUCAUAUCUGGUCAAAAUAAAAUUAUUGUGUUUUUCAUGUUUCUCUAA